rnacentral:misc_RNA from 1 species
UUUCCGUAGGUGAACCUGCGGAAGGAUCAUUACAGAGUUCAUGCCCUCACGGGUAGAUCUCCAACCCUUGAAUAUUUAUACCUUAGUUGCUUUGGCAGGCCGUGGAAACACCAUGGGCUCCGGCUUAUGCGUGCCUGCCAGAGGAAACAAACUCUGUUUUUAGUGAUGUCUGAGUACUAUAUAAUAGUUAAAACUUUCAACAACGGAUCUCUUGGUUCUG